UGCUUGGCUGCAGAGCUGCCUUCGAGGGCCAGGCACAAGCUGGGUACGCAGCAAAGUGCCUCAUGCAGCCCCUCCAGAGAGCUCUUUUCUUUCCUCCUUGCUUUGGAGAGCAGAGGCUGAGCAGGAAGAGCUGCAAACAUCUAGGCAAGGGCACAGCUGGAUGCAAGCAGAGCUGUCCAGCGCAGCCAAGCGAAGGCUCAGCAGGACCUUUACGAACCUCAGCCAGACGCCUCCCUGCGGCUCCACCUGAGAGAAGCCUCAGCCCUGCGUGACAAAAGCUGUCCCCAGGCGCCGCAGGACAGCAGCAGCCCCUGGUGCGCUGUGAUCUCUUCAGGAGCCGCCGGGGAAAGCUGCCUCCUCCCGAGGCAGAUCAAAACCACCUCACAACCACUUUGUCCACCGGCAGCGAUCUGAGGCGAGCUCCAGCCUGGCUCCCUCCGGCUCUGCUCUCCUUUAAACAUCUGCAGGCACAGCUGGAUGCACCCGCACUGGCUGCUCGGUUGCGAUGCUGCCAUCCCCUCGGGGCUGCUUGCUCCAUCCCAGCAUCACUUCCCACCAGUGCUUUUACUAUGAUAAGUGGAACUAUUUAGGCAAAUUGGUUAUUGCUGUGUCCUAUUAGAGCACCUCCUCCUUUUUCGGGUGCUUUCAUGGCAGCCCGACCCAUAAAACUGCAUUUUCUCUUCCUGGAUUUAUGGCUCUGUAAAGCUCCUUUCUUGUACCUCAGGGAAUCAGGGGAUUAGAGCUGUAUUAAACAUCUCCAGUGAAAAUGCCACUCAGGUGAAAAAGGAGAGGGGAGGGGGGAGGGAAAAGAGAGGAACUGGAGGGCAAGGACUGAACAGAAGCAAACUUGGCUACAGGAAAAUAAAAAAUGGUUUUCAUAUAUUA